AGACAUUAGAAAAACCUAGUCAUCAUCACAAGUUAAAUUUUUUAUUAACUGUUUUUUAUAUUACUGUACAUUAGGCAAGUAUCGUAAAAGCAAGAACCUUGCCAUUAAGCACAUGUAUAUUUUUUUGUUAGCUCAGAAGACAGUUAUUUUUAUUAAACCAACAAUAACAACAUAGUUUUAUUUACCAAAAGAUUUAUUCAAGUCACAUAAAUUUGAAAAAAUAUUUGGUCUUAUUUAAUUAAUUUCUGAGUACUCAUUCAGGUUAAUGUGGUACCACGUGUAAAUAAUAUGCAAAUAUACAUAUGACCAUAUACAUAUAUGUAGACACAACAUAUAACAUUCACAUGUACACAUGUAUGUACCUAAUAGCCAAAGAGAUCAAGGAGUUUAGUGCAAAAGAGAGUCGUAGAGCUUCAGACUUGAAUCUGUCCACUUAAAACUCUUGGGGUUCCAUGAGGAAAAUCAAAGCUUCCUCCCCUAAAGAGAAACUCAUGUUGCCUUUUCUGUUUUAAUUAAAGGAUCCCAGGCAGUUAGAAUUGUUUUUAGGUCCCCUCCUGUGGCAUUGAAAGUUGCAAGGGGAAGGAGGGACACACGGAAUAGAAGGAGAAGCAGACAGAGGGAGCAAAUAUGGUUAGCAGAGGUUUAAAAAGACAGGAAUUCAGUUGACUGAGAAGGUUUUACAGAGCGAAUAGAAGCCUUAAACAAUAUAUAUAUAUAUAUAUGUGUACAUACAUAACCUAAAUAUCAGUUUGAAUUAAGUCAGCUUUUGACUAUAGAGCUCUUAAAAAAAACUUUUAAAAUCUCUUGUUAAAAGAUUUUAGCUGGGAUAAACAGCUGACAUUUCUGUUUUUACUUUUUUUUCUAGAGAUACCUUCCCAAGUGAAAGCAAUAAGCCUUAACCAAAGCUGUGACUUAACCAAGGAUUCACAAGGCAUCUCCAAACAUGUAAGUGGGUACCCGCAAAAUUAAAAGUCACACAAAUAUAAAACGAACAGGGACUGGUUUCCUGAGGAGAAAUCAAACCCAAGCGAAGGCUGUGAAAGUGUGGAAUUGGAACUACUGUGCAACAAGGUUGAGCAGCGUUCAUUAUUAAUCCUGCAGGGAAUCCAAAGCAGGCAGUUUGAGCUCACAAAGAUUUUAAAUUUGUUUAGGUUAGGUUUUUGCUCUUAAUUGUGUCAAGAUAAUUUCUAGGGCUGGCCAUGACACUAUUGCAUGUCUUUCUUUGAAUUUGAUCUUCCCAUCAAUUGUUUAGAAUGAGAGAUCUCAAAAGACUUUUUAUUUAUUUAUUUAUUUAUUUAUUUUAUUAUACUUUAAGUUCUAGGAUACGUGUGCAGAACGUGCAGGUCCGUUACAUAGGUAUACAUGUGCCAUGGUGGUUUGCUGAACCCAUCAACCCGUCAUCUUCAAAGUUACAGGUCAUUGACUGCUGGAUCCACAUAUCCCACCUACAAAAGGCACAUGCAGACGUCUGGAAUUCAGCCCCAAUACCUGAUACCAAAUGCAAGAUGCCUGGAGCUCCAACACCAGGAUGAGAAGAAGCCCACGGCUACAGGAAACUGCUUCCCCUGAGACUCCAGACCAGGCCUAUAUCCAGAUGAAAGCUUACACUCCCCACAUAGUGCUCAUUACACUCAUUGCUUUAGAGGUUUUCAGAGUUGUUAUUAGCUUAUGAAAGCAGGACACAUACCUUUGCUUUGCUUAUUUAAAUCUAAUAUACCCAGUCCUUUUGCAUACCUCACAAUUCUGUUAAAGAUAGAAGUGUAGAAUCUUAUGUAUAGCAGACAUUUUAUGUCACACGAAAGGAAUUCCAUGUAUUCCUAUAUUUAGAUAUCUGUAGACCUUCCUCGCCCAACCCUAUUCAGGGUCCCUAAAACUCUUUCCUCUAGAAUACAUGAUCCCCACUCCAGAAGGCAUUGCCACUCGGCCUUUUGUCAGCCGGACAUUUUACUACCCUUUUAGAAGGGCAAUAAUCCUAUUGAAUUAAGGCUCCACCCUUACAACCUCAUUUAACCUUAAUUACCUUCUUCCGGGCUCUACCUCCAAGUCACAUUGGGGGUUAGGGCUUCAACAUAUAAAUGCUGGGGAUACACAAUUCAGUCCAUAGCGAACAGCAAUGGAACACCAUUUGUGUUCCCCUCACACAUGCAGCUAUUCACUACUUCUCACUACAGCAUAUUUGAGUGCCUACUUUAAAAACAGAGUGAAUUACCUGCCUCAGCCUGACUUAUGUUUCCUGCUGGCCAUAGCACUGGCACCAGUUGUACAACUGGCAAUGGCCCUGACCCCUGCACACUCCAUGGCAUUAGUACCCCUAUUCCCUGAAAUCCUGGC
rnacentral:lncRNA from 10 species